UUAUGGCUCAGGACGAACGCUGGCGGCGUGCUUAACACAUGCAAGUCGAGCGAUGAAGCUUCUCGGAAGUGGAUAGCGGCGGACGGGUGAGUAACACGUGGGUAACCUGCCUCAUAGAGGGGAAUAGCCUUCCGAAAGGAAGAUUAAUACCGCAUAAGAUUGUAAUAUCGCAUGAUAUAGACAAUUAAAGGAGCAAUCCGCUAUGAGAUGGACCCGCGUCGCAUUAGCUAGUUGGUGAGGUAACGGCUCACCAAGGCGACGAUGCGUAGCCGACCUGAGAGGGUGAUCGGCCACAUUGGGACUGAGACACGGCCCAAACUCCUACGGGAGGCAGCAGUAGGGAAUCUUCCGCAAUGGACGAAAGUCUGACGGAGCAACGCCGCGUGAGUGAAAAGAAGGUUUUCGGAUCGUAAAACUCUGUUGUCAGAGAAGAACAAGUUGGAGAGUAACUGCUCCAGCCUUGACGGUAUCUGACCAGAAAGCCACGGCUAACUACGUGCCAGCCGCCGC
rnacentral:rRNA from 1 species